UGUGUGUAUAUACUACUCCUACUGGGUGUAAUGUUUUGGUUAGGCCAAGAAGCUAAUGUGGUUUUGUUUGACAAAAUGUUUCAGUAGCUUGUAGUUGUCUGUCUGCUGGCUAGCUGGUAUAAUUGCUUACUUUAUUAAUCUUUGCUAAUGAUCUGAUAAUUGAUCACUCAACAAAAGUGGUGAUGAUGUGUGGAUUACAUAAGAUUGAUAGCUCUCUACCUUUGUGAUAUUGACAUGGAGAUUGCAGUGUUUGGGGAGAGAUUGGUAAUAUCUUCGCACGUCCCUUCGCUUGAUCUUGUCAUGGCCACCAUCCAGACUUGUUUUUGAAGCCAAGCAAAAAUGUUUGUGUCAAGUACAAACCACGCACAGACUUGGCAGGAUUACGGGUUUGCAUCCCUCGUCCUCUUUUGAACACUUGCAUGCUUUUUUUGGGUGUAGUUCACAGAAAAAAGUAAUGCUGCGAUUUCACGCGUGGUUAAUGAAUGGCAAUGUUAUACACUUGACAUCUGAUCCGAAAAAUGAAAAAGAAAAACUAUCUGAUGUACCAACUACUAAUUAACAUCGAUCAAUCACGUACGGAAGAUUGACAUGUCAUGCCGGGAACACUUGGGAUGCAAGAGGCCAAGAAGUAAUCAAUGGAGACGGCAAAAUUCUAAACGCAAAUCUGCUAUCAUUGCUGUACACAUUGCACGCACACAAGUGGCACAAAGGCUUACUCAGAUUAAUUAAGCGGUAAGAGCGAGUUAAUUAAGUGGCACGAACCCGAGGUGGUUCACGGGUCGAGGUGGAUGGGCAGCACCGUGCUCCGCGAGCUCCGGCCGAGCCCGAACGACGACAGCAN
rnacentral:lncRNA from 1 species